rnacentral:sRNA from 1 species
ACACACACUGGUUGCUGAGCGAGGAUCGGAUUUCGGAAUCUGCCUGAGAGCUCGCAGGACAGAGGGCUACAAUACAAGUGCUAAACGAGCUCCGCGUGACGGGCGCAUACGACAUUCGUCUUGGAAACGUGUCAAGAAGUCCCUGAAUUUAUGGAUUCCUGGCUUCCAGUUGUUGAUUUGCAAUUGCUACAUUUGUAAUCAGUCAUCUCUCCCGCGCGCCACAGUUCAAAUAAAGUGAUAUUAUAGACACUUAAUUGACUGGGCAUGCUUGGGCUGAAACUCAGUUGCCUCAAAAUAUCCAACA